CAUUAGAUAGCUGAAAGUUAGCUUAGGUCUCUUAAACCUCUUUAUAAUAGAUUAACACCUAUUUCUGAUG
rnacentral:tRNA from 1 species